GAUGAACGCUGGCGGCGUGCCUAAUACAUGCAAGUCGAGCGAACGGACGAGAAGCUUGCUUCUCUGAUGUUAGCGGCGGACGGGUGAGUAACACGCGGAUAACCUACCUAUAAGACUGGGAUAACUUCGGGAAACCGGAGCUAAUACCGGAUAAUAUUUUGAACCGCAUGGUUCAAAAGUGAAAGACGGUCUUGCUGUCACUUAUAGAUGGAUCCGCGCUGCAUUAGCUAGUUGGUAAGGUAACGGCUUACCAAGGCAACGAUGCAUAGCCGACCUGAGAGGGUGAUCGGCCACACUGGAACUGAGACACGGUCCAGACUCCUACGGGAGGCAGCAGUAGGGAAUCUUCCGCAAUGGGCGAAAGCCUGACGGAGCAACGCCGCGUGAGUGAUGAAGGUCUUCGGAUCGUAAAACUCUGUUAUUAGGGAAGAACAUAUGUGUAAGUAACUGUGCACAUCUUGACGGUACCUAAUCAGAAAGCCACGGCUAACUACGUG
rnacentral:rRNA from 1 species